UGUGUUUACCGCUGAAUAAAAGCAGCAUGUCUCCAUAAAAGUGUAGGCACGUUAUUUAAAGUCAUCUCCAGAGGCCAUGAUGUGUAAAAUUGGAUUUCCCAUAGGAGAUGGAAGACGAUACACAUUCUUGUCUGCUGCAUUUCUGGGAUGGUAUCAGACUGACGGACACGUGGAGUCCUCGGCAUCCGACUUUGAGGGACCGGACUCUCCUGGAGGACCUGGAUAUGAACAAGAUCUCACCCAGUCUCGGCUCUCGUCUACUUUUGUCUACUUUGUGUGUGUGUGUGUGUGUGUGUGUGUGUGUGUGUGUGUGUGUGUGUGUGUGUGUGUGUGUGUGUGUGUGUGUGUGUGUGAGUCCGUUUAUCUGAUUGGAGAGCUAGCAUGACGAUGACUUCUGUUUUGUUUGAUCAGCCGUUUCACUGCCCUGUCACAAACACCAUUUGGGAACAAUUUAAGAUCUCACCCAGGCUCGGCUCUCGUCUACUUUUGUCUACUUUGUGUGUGUGUGUGUGUGUGUGUGUGUGUGUGAGUCCGUUUAGCUGAUUGGAGAGCUAGCAUGACGAUGACUUCUGUUUUGUUUGAUCAGCCGUUUUACUGCCCUGUUACAAACACCAUUUGGGAACAAUUUAAGAUCUCACCCAGGCUCGGCUCUCGUCUACUUUUGUCUACUUUGUGUGUGUGCGUGUGUGUGUGUGUGUGUGUGUGUGUGUGCAGCCAACCACAACUCUCCAUUCACAAUGUGACACAUCGGAAUAACACGCGCGGCGCUAGCAUGUAGCACUUCGCCCCUUGUCGUCACGGCGACUUUGACAGCGCUCUCGAUGCAAAUGUGGCGUCUUGACUGGAUGACUGACGCGCCAUGUUUGACACGCACACACGCACACACACACACACACACACACACACACACACACACACACACACACACACACACACACACACACAGACUUCUACAGGUUUAAAAAUGCCUCCCUGUUUAGGAGCAGCCUUUCCAGAUAUAUAAAGACUUGUAUGUACAAGAUGAAUAAUACAUACAUACUAUUCAAAUAAAAUAAUAAGCUUUUAUUUUUAAUUUAAAAACUAAUUGAUUUUAAUUUUAAUUUUCAUUUGUUUAAAUUGUUUGUGUGUAUUUGUGUGAAUGCUCCAAAGCAUUCAGUAAUAUGGUUUUCUAAACCAACAUUCAUCGAUUUAUUCUUCUUCUUCUUCUUCUUCUUCUCCUUCUUUUUCUUCCUUUUCUUCUUCUUAUUUGCCUCCUUCUUCUUCUUCUUCUACUUAUUGUUCCUCUCCUCAUUAGCCUUCUUUUUCUUUGUCUUCUUUAUCAUCUUCUUCUUCUUCUUCUUCUCCUCCUCCUUCUUCUUCUACUUCUUCUUCCUCUCCUUAUUAUCCUUCUUUUUCUUCUUUUCCUUCUUCUUCUCUUCCUCCUUCUUCUCCUCCUUCUACUUCUUCUUCUUCUCCUUCUUCUCCUUAUUUUUCUUCAUCUUCUUUUUAUUCUUCUUCUCUUUGUCCUCCUCCUCCUUCUUCUUUUCCUUCUUUUUCUUCUUCUUAUUGUUAUAUUUUUUCUUCUUUUUAUUCGUCAUUUUCUUAUUUUUCUUCAUUUUCUUCUCCCCCUUCUUCUUCUACUUCUUCUUCCUCUCCUUAUUCUCAUUCUUUUUCUUUGUCUUCUUUUUCUUCUUCUUUUUCUUCUUCUUCUUCUUCUCCUUCUGCUCCUCCUUAUUCUCCUUCUUAUACUUCUUCUUCUUCUCCUUAUUCUCCUUCUUUUUCAUCGUCUUCUUUUUAUUCUUCUUCUCCUUGUCCUCCUCCUCCUUCUUUUCCUUCUUUUUCUUCUUCUUCUUGUUACAUUUCUUCUUCUUUUUAUUCGUAUUCUUCUUAUUUUUCUUCAUUUUCUUCUCCUUCUUCUUCUACUUCUUCUUCCUCUCCUUAUUGUCAUUCUUUUUCUUUGUCUUCUUUUUCUUCUUCUUUUUCUUCUUCUUCUUCUUCUUCGUCUCCUUCUGCACCUCCUUAUUCUCCUUCUUAUACUUCUUCUUCUUCUCCUUGUCCUCCUCCUCCUUCUUCUUUUCCUUCUUUUUCUUCUUCUUUUUGUUAUAUUUCUUCUUCUUUGUAUUCGUCAUUUUCUUAUUUUUCUUCAUUUUCUUCUCUUUAUCUUCCUCAUCCUCCUCCUUCUUCUUUUUCUUUUUCUUCUUUUUCUUCUCCUUAUUUUUCUUCUUCUUAUUUCUAUUCUUCUUCUUCUUUUUAUUAUUAUUAUUCUUUUUAUUCUUCUUUUUAUUCUGUUUCUUCCUUAUAUGGAAUGUCCUUUCUUUGUUUUUGUCUCAAGACAAUACCGUAAUGUGUAUUCACCCAUCCUAUGGUCACAUAUGACACGCGGGUUGUCUUAUGUCAGCGCCGGAAGUAGUGAAAUCAGUUGUUCAUCUUGCGGCUUUUUUGGGGGGAUGAAUAGGGAAGUCCUUCUUUAACUGCUAUCUUGUUUUAUCAUAUUUUGCUAACUUUGUACCUGUCAAUGUUUAUUUUUCUGUGCACAUUAAAUUAACAAUAAAAAUCCUGACUUUGGAGCAAUGUUCACGGAUUCUAGUAAUUGUCUCUUUAUUAGAUGCAAUGUUUUUUCCGUAUUGAGACCAUGAUUUUGGUCCUAACUUGUUCACCCGUCCUCAUAUGGAAGGUACUUUUCCUUGUUUUUGUCUCAAGACUAUACCGUAGUGUAUUUGUUCAUCCUAUGGUCACAUGUGGGACUCAGGUUGUCUUAUGUCAGCACCGGAAGUCGCAAAAUCAGCUGUUCACCUGGCGGCCUUCUUUAGCUGCCAUCUUGUUUUAUCAUAUAUUGCUGUCUUUGUACCUGUCAAUUUUUAUUUUUCUGUGCACAUUAAAUCAACAAUAAAAAUCCUGACUUUGGAGCAAUGUUCACGGAUUCUAGUAAUUGUCUCUUUAUUAUAUGCAAUGUUUUUUCCGUAUUGGGACCAUGAUUUGGGUCCUAACUUGUUCACCGGUCCUCAUAUGGAAGGUACUUUUCCUUGUUUUUGUCUCAAGACCGUACCGUAGUGUAUGUGUUCAUCCUAUGGUCACAUAUGGGACUCAGGUUGUCUUACGUCAGCACCGGAAGUCGCAAAAUCUGCUGUUCACCUGGCGGCCUUCUUUAGCUGCCAUCUUGUUUUAUCAUAUAUUGCUGUCUUUGUACCUGUCAAUUUUUAUUUUUCUGUGCACAUUAAAUCAACAAUAAAAAUCCUGACUUUGGAGCAAUGUUCACGGAUUCUAGUAUUAGGCUCUCUAUUAGAUGCAAUGUUUUUUCCGUAUUGGGACCAUGAUUUCGGUCCUAACUUGUUCACAGGUCCUCAUAUGGAAGGUACUUUUCCUUGUUUUUGUCUCAAGACCGUACCGUAGUGUAUUUGUUCAUCCUAUGGUCACAUGUGGGACUCAGGUUGUCUUACGUCAGCACCGGAAGUCGCAAAAUCUGCUGUUCACCUGGCGGCCUUCUUUAGCUGCCAUUUUGUUUAAUCAUAUAUUGCUGCCUUUGUACCUGUUAAUGUUUAUUUUUCUGUGCACAUUAAAUCAACAAUAAAAAUCCUGACUUUGGAGCAAUGUUCACGGAUUCUAGUAAUUGUCUCUUUAUUAGAUGCAAUGUUUUUUCCGUAUUGAGACCAUGAUUUUGGUCCUAACUUGUUCACCCGUCCUCAUAUGGAAGGUACUUUUCCUUGUUUUUGUCUCAAGACUAUACCGUAGUGUAUUUGUUCAUCCUAUGGUCACAUGUGGGACUCAGGUUGUCUUAUGUCAGCACCGGAAGUCGCAAAAUCUGCUGUUCACCUGGCGGCCUUCUUUAGCUGCCAUUUUGUUUAAUCAUAUAUUGCUGCCUUUGUACCUGUUAAUGUUUAUUUUUCUGUGCACAUUAAAUCAACAAUAAAAAUCCUGACUUUGGAGCAAUGUUCACGGAUUCUAGUAAUUGUCUCUUUAUUAGAUGCAAUGUUUUUUCCGUAUUGAGACCAUGAUUUUGGUCCUAACUUGUUCACCCGUCCUCAUAUGGAAGGUACUUUUCCUUGUUUUUGUCUCAAGACUAUACCGUAGUGUAUUUGUUCAUCCUAUGGUCACAUGUGGGACUCAGGUUGUCUUAUGUCAGCACCGGAAGUCGCAAAAUCAGCUGUUCACCUGGCGGCCUUCUUUAGCUGCCAUCUUGUUUUAUCAUAUAUUGCUGUCUUUGUACCUGUCAAUUUUUAUUUUUCUGUGCACAUUAA